AACAUUCUUCUCUACAGUUAGUUUUGUAAUGUAGCCUACAACUUGUAUUUCUUUAGUGAGGGUUUUUAUUUUUUAAUAUUUUUUGUAGCCAUUUUUUUACUUUAUGCGUUGAUAAGGAACAUUUAAUCUAUUUGUAGCCUUUAGUCCAGUAGUAUAUACAGUGCUGUGAAAAAGUAGAAGAAACUAUGAAGUGGGCAAAAAGUAUUUGCCCACUUCCUUGUCUCUUAUACUGUAACUAAGAUACAUGGACUAUACAUGGAAGAAUAUCUUCUAUAUAGGCUGGCCCUUCCUUUGAAGGUUCCCGACUGUCUCCCAAUGCACAACUCUUGGCAGGACUCCCGAUCUGUUUUGUUACCACGCUGACAUAUCAGUGAGGAGGGUAGGACAGCUGGUUGAAGGCGUAUUGGACCAACUGUCCUUUUUUAGGCAGCUAUAUAGGUUCCCCUCAGGCACCGUUUGGAUCUUUUCUAUGCUUUGAUUUCACUGAUGACUGAACACCAGCAAGAGACACCCCAGCUCCACACCAUGUAAGUGGAAGAUUGGGACUACAGAGGACUUUCACAUUGACAUCCGACGCCUUCUCUGUCCAAGUCAUUUUUAUUCAAAACAAAACCAAUGAGACAGUUUUUUAAAACUUAUAUAUGCUUUGAUAACUCAAUUGUGGUUGUUUUAGUGUAUCAGUCUGACAAUUCGCUAACUGUGCUCCUUUAUUGUAAUGUCUGUGGUUCGAUAGACACAAUGGUGCAAAGUAAAUGUACAUUCCUGGACUGCUGUACCCGUGGCUUCACUGAUGGCCCUGUUAAGAUCUGGGCUCUACCAGGUACUAGGAUUUGGUUGAACAGGUAGGACAGCUGGUUGAAGGUGUAUUGGACCAACUGUCCUUUUUUAGGCAGUGUGGCAACCCACGGGCACAAGAGAGCAGCACAAAGGGCAGGGGCACCAACGAGCAAGAGGUCAGGUGACCAAAAGGGGAAACACCCCGCCCCCUCAGGAGACAACGAGCGGCCCAGGUGCAGCUCAUAAGGCGUAGAAGCUGGCUUAAUGCCAGGGUUUGUUUGCAAGAGUGUUAAAGCCCGUUUUUUUUGUGCUUCCUGCAGGAAGGAGACUGAAGGCCGAACGAACCCGCUGAACCUCACCCUCAAAAGAGGAAGAACCUAAUUUUCCCUUUUUGGUUACUUUGUACGUCACAAUAAAUCGUACCCUUUUCUUGUGCAACUAGACGUGUAUCUGAGUCCGGUGAUUCCACCCACACCCGUUGGUUGCCACAUAUGGUGGAGGAUGCAGGCAUCUUUAAUUCCACCGCCAUAACCCCGAAGACCACGGACCAUGGGAGAAGCAAUGGAAGCCGCAAUGGCCAAGCUCCUCCAAGCCCAGGCGCAGCAGGUACAGAGCAUGGCAGCCCUUCAGGGGACAUUCGACAGGCUGGCCGAGAGCCUAACCCCGAGGGCCCCUCACGCUUCUCCAACAGCUUUACUCACCAAACAGACCCCUGUAGACAAUGUGGAGGCCUUCCUCAAGGUCUUUGAAUGAACGGCAGAACAUGAAGGCUGGCCGGAAGACCAUUGGGUGCACAUCCUGGCGCCUUUUCUGACAGGAGACGCCCAAAGGGCAUACCAAGACCUCGGAACAAGGGAGGCGACAGACUACCCAACGGUGAAGGGGGCCAUCCUCGCCUACUGUCAUGGGGUGAUAGCCAGAACGAGGGAUGGACUCAAAAGCGGGAUUCAGAGAAAUAAAAAGACUGGGAAAAGAGGGACUUAGUACGGGAUCCGUGGCCGAGGAAGAUGCUGGAGAGGCAGAGAGGCACAGGGGUCCAGGCGGCAGGAGCAGUGCGGUAGAUAGAAUCCACGCUUGAGGGAGAGGUAAAGAUCCGGCUGGCUGGAGGAGUUCCCCCAAGCCGCGGAGGGCGAGAGGGGAAGCUGGGGAAUCCGUCAGGCUGGGAUGGUCAGUAAGGAGGCACCAGGUAAAAUCUUUCCUAGGGUUGGUGGGGUAUUACCAGAGGUUCAUUCCCGCUACGCAACCAUGGCGGCCCCCUUGCAUGACCUGACGAGAAAGCGGGGGCCACACUGGUUAACUGGACCCCGAGGCUAACGGGGCAUUUGAGUGCCUACGACAGGCUUUGUGCACCGGUGCUAGUAACGCCUGUCUUUUCCCUCCCAUUCCUAGUCCAUACAGACGCGUCGGAGGUGGGACUGGGGGCGGUCCUUUUUCAGGUACGAGACGGCGAGGAGCACCCGGUGAUAGAUAGAUAUUAUAUAUAUAUAUAUAAAGCCGAAAGUAUCUGCACAAGCUUCGCUACUACCUCCUGGGUCGGAGCUUCACCCUGGUGACAGACCACGCCCCCCUGAAAUGGAUGGCGCAGGCGAAAGACUCAAACGCCAGGGUCACCCGCUGGUUUCUGGCCCUCCAGGACUACAAAUUCAGUGGAGCACCGGCCGGGGAGGGAACCUGCUAACGCUGAUGCAGGCGGGAUGCUUGUAUGUGGGCGGUCCGUCUGGGGUGGGGGAGUUGUGGCAACCCACGGACACAGCACUCUGGACAGCCCCUCAAGAGAGCAGCACAAAGAGCAGGGGCACCAACGAGCAAGAGGUCAGGUCACCAAAAGGGGAAACACCCCGCCCCCUCAGGAGACAACGACCGCGGCCCAGGUGCAGCUCAUAAGGCUGAUGAAGGUUGACCACACUAUAAAAGACCAACCAUUCCAACAGCCCAGCAGACAAGACGAAGGAGACUGAAGGUCGAACGAACCCGCUGAACCGCACCCUCAAAAGAGGAAGAACCUAAUUUUCCCUUUUUCGUUACUUUGUACGUUACAAUAAAUCGUACCCUUUUCUUGUGCAACUAGA